AAAAAAAGGAAUUUCCUGCAAUGUUUGGGGCUGGUUUGAGUGAUUCUGUCUGGGCAGUGUCAGCUCCUUCCUCUGGAUCCUGACGGCGUCUCCAGGGCUGAGUGAGGCAGGAAGAAGUUCAUUUCUCCUGAUGAUGGAGCAAUAAAUUCUCUUUCUCUGAAA